rnacentral:rRNA from 1 species
UGUACACACCGCCCGUCGCUACUACCGAUUGAAUGGCUUAGUGAGACCUCCGGAUUGGCGUCCUGUUACCGGCAACGGAAACGGGUUGCUGAGAAGUUGGUCAAACUUGGUCAUUUAGAGGAAGUAAAAGUCGUAACAAGGUAACCGUAGGUGAACCUGCGGUUGGAUCAUUA